rnacentral:rRNA from 1 species
GACGAACGCUGGCGGCGUGCUUAACACAUGCAAGUCGAACGGUGAAGGGAUCAGCUUGCUGGUUCUGGAUGAGUGGCGAACGGGUGAGUAACACGUGAGUAACCUGCCCCCUUCUUCUGGAUAACCGCAUGAAAGUGUGGCUAAUACGGGAUAUUCUGCGCCUGCUGCAUGGUGGGUGUGGGAAAGAUAUUGUUUCGGUGGGGGAUGGGCUCGCGGCCUAUCAGCUUGUUGGUGGGGUGAUGGCCUACCAAGGCGGUGACGGGUAGCCGGCCUGGGAGGGUGGUCGGUCACACGGGGACUGAGACACGGCCCAGACUCCUACGGGAGGCAGCAGUGGGGAAUAUUGCACAGUGGGCGCAAGCCUGAUGCAGCGACGCCGCGUGAGGGAUGGAGGCCUUCGGGUUGUGAACCUCUUUCGCCAGUGAAGCAGGCCUGUCCCUUGUGGGUGGGUUGACGGUAGCUGGAGAAGAAGCGCCGGCUAACUACGUG